UAAAGAUCUAGCCCUGUGAAAGGAAACAGCCCAGCUUUCACCCUUGACUUCUGGGAAGCAGACUCUGGCCUUUGGCCUCACCACCACUGCCUGCCCCUCCUUGAAGUGGAAAAGCCUGGAAGAGCACAGGUUCUUCUUAAGGAUGUGAGCCAACAUGAACAUUCUGGUGAGUCACUUUGGAUAACCACCUGCCCUGUAAGAGGAUGCAGACCCAAUUCUACUACAGUGUCACCUGGAAUAGAUGGAGAGUAGAGCUGAGCAAAGAGAACCUUGAUGUGGGGAUAACCAGGAUCAGCAAGAAAGAAGAUACCAAGUUCCCUCUUUCCACUGCCCCACAGAGGCCACAUCCUGGGCAACCAGCAUGACACCACAUGGAGAGGGCUCAUCUUGACCUGCCUUCGUCGUCAUCCCACCUAGCAACAAUCUGCAACAAAUGGCAGAUUUUCUGACCAGACAGAUCAGAGUCACUGCAGAUGCAGA